CUUCGGUCACCGUGUGUGCCCUGACCCCACGUGGAGCUGGUGGCUUUUCUCUGCUGGUUUGCUGGUGACAUCUUUAAGUCUGAGGAGGGACCUUCUGAUGUCAGAGUUGGGACUUAACCAGGACACAUGUUUUUGACCCAAUCUGGAUUUCAUCACAGUCAGAGGUGACUUCUGAUCCUUCUCUGGUGAACGACGUUCCUUGGGCAGAAGCCAAGGGUCUCGGAGCUAAUGCAUGGCAGAGCUGGGACUGGAAGUCUGGUCUACC